CAAACGGCUCUUUUUAGAGCCACCCAUUUUUUUAUCAAAGAGAUA
rfam:Ciona savignyi cont_6542, whole genome shotgun sequence.